UUCGACACACUAUCAUUAACUGAAUCCAUAGGUUAAUGAGGCGAACCGGGGGAACUGAAACAUCUAAGUACCCCGAGGAAAAGAAAUCAACCGAGAUUCCCCCAGUAGCGGCGAGCGAACGGGGAGGAGCCCAGAGCCUGAAUCAGUGUGUGUGUUAGUGGAAGCGUCUGGAAAGGCGCGCGAUACAGGGUGACAGCCCCGUACACAAAAAUGCACAUGCUGUGAGCUCGAUGAGUAGGGCGGGACACGUGGUAUCCUGUCUGAAUAUGGGGGGACCAUCCUCCAAGGCUAAAUACUCCUGACUGACCGAUAGUGAACCAGUACCGUGAGGGAAAGGCGAAAAGAACCCCGGCGAGGGGAGUGAAAAAGAACCUGAAACCGUGUACGUACAAGCAGUGGGAGCACGCUUAGGCGUGUGACUGCGUACCUUUUGUAUAAUGGGUCAGCGACUUAUAUUCUGUAGCAAGGUUAACCGAAUAGGGGAGCCGAAGGGAAACCGAGUCUUAACUGGGCGUUAAGUUGCAGGGUAUAGACCCGAAACCCGGUGAUCUAGCCAUGGGCAGGUUGAAGGUUGGGUAACACUAACUGGAGGACCGAACCGACUAAUGUUGAAAAAUUAGCGGAUGACUUGUGGCUGGGGGUGAAAGGCCAAUCAAACCGGGAGAUAGCUGGUUCUCCCCGAAAGCUAUUUAGGUAGCGCCUCGUGAAUUCAUCUCCGGGGGUAGAGCACUGUUUCGGCAAGGGGGUCAUCCCGACUUACCAACCCGAUGCAAACUGCGAAUACCGGAGAAUGUUAUCACGGGAGACACACGGCGGGUGCUAACGUCCGUCGUGAAGAGGGAAACAACCCAGACCGCCAGCUAAGGUCCCAAAGUCAUGGUUAAGUGGGAAACGAUGUGGGAAGGCCCAGACAGCCAGGAUGUUGGCUUAGAAGCAGCCAUCAUUUAAAGAAAGCGUAAUAGCUCACUGGUCGAGUCGGCCUGCGCGGAAGAUGUAACGGGGCUAAACCAUGCACCGAAGCUGCGGCAGCGACGCUUAUGCGUUGUUGGGUAGGGGAGCGUUCUGUAAGCCUGUGAAGGUGUGCUGUGAGGCAUGCUGGAGGUAUCAGAAGUGCGAAUGCUGACAUAAGUAACGAUAAAGCGGGUGAAAAGCCCGCUCGCCGGAAGACCAAGGGUUCCUGUCCAACGUUAAUCGGGGCAGGGUGAGUCGACCCCUAAGGCGAGGCCGAAAGGCGUAGUCGAUGGGAAACAGGUUAAUAUUCCUGUACUUGGUGUUACUGCGAAGGGGGGACGGAGAAGGCUAUGUUGGCCGGGCGACGGUUGUCCCGGUUUAAGCGUGUAGGCUGGUUUUCCAGGCAAAUCCGGAAAAUCAAGGCUGAGGCGUGAUGACGAGGCACUACGGUGCUGAAGCAACAAAUGCCCUGCUUCCAGGAAAAGCCUCUAAGCAUCAGGUAACAUCAAAUCGUACCCCAAACCGACACAGGUGGUCAGGUAGAGAAUACCAAGGCGCUUGAGAGAACUCGGGUGAAGGAACUAGGCAAAAUGGUGCCGUAACUUCGGGAGAAGG
rnacentral:rRNA from 1 species